CAAUAGCGUAUAUUAAUGUUGUUGCAGUUAAAAAGCUCGUAGUUGGAUUCCUGACCUGGGGUAGCCGGUCCGCCUUGCAAAAGGUGCGCACUGAGCGGCCUCGGUCAUCCUUGAGAAGAGCGGUCCUGGCAUUCAGUUGUCGGGGUCGGGAUUCUCGACGUUUACUGUGAAAAAUCAGAGUGUUCAACGCAGGCUUACGCCUUGAAUACAUUAGCAUGGAAUAAUGAGAUAGGACCUUGGCGGUCUAUUUUGUUGGUUUGCACGCCGAGGUAAUGAUUAAAAGGGACGGUUGGGGUUCUUCGUAUUCAAUUGUCAGAGGUGAAAUUCUUGGAUUUAUGGAAGACGAACUGCUGCGAAAGCGUCGAACAAGGACGUUCUCAUUAAUCAAGAACGAAAGUUAGGGGAUCGAAGACGAUCAGAUACCGU
rnacentral:rRNA from 1 species